rnacentral:rRNA from 1 species
UAGGGAAUCUUCGGCAAUGGGGGGAACCCUGACCGAGCAACGCCGCGUGAGUGAAGAAGGUUUUCGGAUCGUAAAGCUCUGUUGUUAAGGAAGGACGAGUGUGAGAAUGGAAAGUUCAUACUGUGACGGUACUUAACCAGAAAGGGACGGCUAACUACGUGCCAGCAGCCGCGGUAAUACGUAGGUCCCGAGCGUUGUCCGGAUUUAUUGGGCGUAAAGCGAGCGCAGGUGGUUAGAUAAGUCUGAAGUUAAAGGCAGUGGCUCAACCAUUGUAGGCUUUGGAAACUGUUUAACUUGAGUGCAGAAGGGGAGAGUGGAAUUCCAUGUGUAGCGGUGAAAUGCGUAGAUAUAUGGAGGAACACCGGUGGCGAAAGCGGCUCUCUGGUCUGUAACUGACGCUGAGGCUCGAAAGCGUGGGGAGCGAACAGGAUUAGAUACCCUGGUAGUCCACGCCGUAACGAUGAGUGCUAGGUGUUAGGUCCUUUCCGGGACUUAGUGCCGCAGCUAACGCAUUAAGCACUCCGCCUGGGGAGUACGACCGCAAGGUU